GUGAGGAAUUUUCCGCAAUGGGCGAAAGCCUGACGGAGCAAUGCCGCGUGAAGGAUGAAGGCCUAUGGGUUGUAAACUUCUUUUCUCAGAAAAGAAUUAUGACGGUAUCUGAGGAAUAAGCAUCGGCUAACUCUGUGCCAGCAGCCGCGGUAAGACAGAGGAUGCAAGCGUUAUCCGGAAUGAUUGGGCGUAAAGCGUCUGUAGGUUGUUUAAAAAGUAUUCUGUCAAAGAUUAGGGCUUAACCCUAGAUAGGCAGAAUAAACUUUUAAGCUAGAGUUUGGUAGAGGCAGAGGGAAUUCCCGGUGGAGCGGUGAAAUGCGUAGAUAUCGGGAGGAACACCAAAGGCGAAGGCACUCUGCUGGGCCAAUACUAACACUGAGAGACGAAAGCGAGGGGAGCAGAUGGGAUUAGAUACCCGUGUAGUCC
rnacentral:rRNA from 1 species